UCCGGAUCGAUCACUAUUUUUAUGAUUAUACUAUAAUCGAAAGUAUUUAAGAAUUAAAUACAUGUUUCUAAUUCUUAAUACUUUGAGAAUAUGUAUCGAAAAGUUAAUUUCAUGGAUGAUUCAAGGAUACAUCACACUUGAAUGAAAAAUAAACUUACCCUUUUAUUGAUCAAAUCAAUAUAUUAAGUACAAAAUUAUGUUCUAGCUAU
rnacentral:lncRNA from 1 species